CGGCGCCGCCGCCUCCUCGCCUCGCCUCGCCUCGCCCUGCCGAGCGGAGCGGAGCGGAGGGGACCGGGGCGGCGCGGCCCUGCAUCCCCCUGCCCUCGCACGCCAUUUCCUGUGCUCCGUGUUUACUUCCCGGUUCAGCCGCCUUCCCAGGGAGCGCUCGGCGCCGCCGCUUGCGGAGGGAGCGGGAGGUGUACCCGGAGCCGCGCACGGAGGGCGAGUGCCUGAGCAACAUCCGCGAGUUCCUGCGGGGCUGCGGCGCCUCCCUCCGCCUGGAGAAGACCAUGGUUAAAAAUGUAUGGUUGAUAUGGAACUCACUGCUGAAGUGCAGCACUCUCCACAGAAGUCUGGCAGAAGAGACAAGAUUCAGAAGAUGAUGGUCA
rnacentral:lncRNA from 1 species